UUAUAAAUGAAAAACCAUUGAGUCAUGUGAACAAACACACAUAAAAUAAGAUUGCAAGAUGCAGAAUUUUGGGAGUAUACUAACGACAGUGUGAGAAACAGAGCCAGCUUUCUUUGGAACUGUGGAAGAAGAGUGAGGGCAUCUUGAAAGUCUAAGGUUCUGGGGUGAAGAGAAAAGAGAGAAGCAGCAAACAGCACCAGAAAUCUUUGAUGAUCCUUUGCUUCAUGAACAAAGAGUGACUCUGUGAGGUGACACAAUCAGUUAACUGUCACAGACAGUUAAGGGAAACCCAACAAGGGACAGUACAGCAUCUGGCAGCUGGCAGUGGGGCCGUCCUUCCUACUCCAGGCCUGAAGGAACAAGGGGAGGAAGCAGUUCCUGGAACGUGAAGAAGGGUUCAGCUCACUUGGUCUGGGUUCAGGGGACUUGGCUAUAAAUCCCAUUCCCUAAGUCAGGAAGCCAGUUGCUGUGUUGUGAGCUGCUUAUGGAGGGGGCCUGGGGCCCACCCAGCAAGAAAGGAGAGCCUCUUGCCAGCAGCCGGUGAGGAACUGAAUCCUGCCAACAACCACAAAGGGGGCCUAUAAGCGAAUUCUUCUCCAGUUGACUCUUUUAAUGAGACGGUUGCCCAGGCUGACAGUUAACUGCAGUCUUCUGAGAUGAGAUUCGAUAAGCCAGAGCUUUGGAGAACACGAGCUCUGGAUGUGAGCUGAAAGGUGGCUGGUAAAGAGGGCCUCCCCUCCCUGAGUUCUGGCUUCAGCAUCUGCCCACAGAUAUUUCCUGAAAUCUCAGGGAGCUCAGCCCGCACUGGCGAGAGAGUGUCCUCCCUGUUGGAUACAACUCAUCCCUGAGAUUAAGAGCAUCUGUCAACUGCAGGCACCAGACAAGUGAUGUGCAGAGAGAAGACUGAAAAAAAAAAAAAGAAGGAAACAGCAGCCAGAGAUUCUCUCUACAUCACCCUUCUCCCCUACGUCACUGGAAAUCCAAGGCUCAGAGAUGCGCUGGUUGGAACUUUCCAGUCUGCAGUCCCACCUGCCAUGGGCUAUAGAGGCAGAGGGACUGAGAGGGGCCAGGGAGGGCUCUUGCUUUCAUAGCAACCUUUCUUGUGAAGUUUCUGCCAGUGGUAGCAUCACUGAUCAAAUAUUCAUCAGACCAGCAAUGUGCCCAUCUCACUGAGCAAAGAUAAAAAUAAAUGACACACAUCUUCCUCCCAAGAAGCUCGUGGCCAAAUGCUUCAGUGCAAUAAGAUCUGAGCUAUUUGAAGGAUGUUUUCAGGACUGUAGGAGAAGUUGAUUUAGGAAGUUUCACAUUAAAAAGCCCUGCUCCCUCUUUUUUGAUACAUAAACAGCCAUAUUAAUCAUUAACAUUUACUGAUGCUUUCUCUGAAGUGGGCAAAGUUUUAAGUAGUUUAUGUGAAUUAACUCAGUUGAUCCUAUACUGAUCAAGACUCUAUUCUGGUGUGGAUAAGCAUGGACUAUAAUUAUUAUCCCCAUUUUAUAGAUAAGAAAAAAUCCCAGAGAUGCCAUGCAGCUUGCUCAUAGCACACAGUUUAUAAGUGGGGCAAAAUGGGAUUUGGACUUCAACAGUUUGGACUCAAAGACCUUAGUAACACAGGGGACCUGCUCAUCUGAACUUUCAGGGUUCUGUCUGGGGAAUUUUUGAGCAACUUCAGCUAAUGAUGUUGAGGUUGAUUUUGGCCCUUUGACUCCUUUCUGUACUCUGGUGAGUUGCAAGUUCUGAGUUUGGGUUGAUUUGCAGGGAAACUAAUUCAAUCUUAUGUGCAAGUACAACUGUAUGAUGGCUCUUUCUUGGCUUCCUGGGGAUCCCACUGUUGCUUUUAAGUGUGAUGAAUUUAUUCUGGUUUCAUAGGACAUCACUGGACCAACUAGCCAACCAUUUCCCUCAUAGGUGAGGGCUUUGAACUUUUUCAGAGUUUCACGGUUCACAAAAGCUUUUGUUCGCAAACAAUUUGGUUCAUAAACAGAAGUGUUUGGCAAAAUUUCAUUUUUGUUUUCAAACUCUACAUUGGGUGGGAAAGAUGGCUGUGGUCAUGUUUCCCACACAAACACAAAUGUCGCCAUCUUUUCCAAAAUUGUAGAACAAAUUAAGUUUGUGAACCGAGGUACCACUGUAUUAGAAAUGACAUCCCAUUACUUCUUUUUCCUAGAAAUGAGUCACCAUGUCCAGCCCACACUCAAAGGAGGGGGAAUUAUGGUUCCUCUUGAAUGGAGGAUCAUUAAAGACUUUGUUGGUAUCUCUUCUAAAACUGCUAGAGUAAUUUCACUCAGUUUCAAUUUGUCCUUUCCCUUGUAUUAUUAUUGGAUUUGUAUUUGUCUGGGCUGCACUGUUUAAAAAUGAAAAUUCUCUUCUCUUUUUUUUCCUUUUUCCCACCCUUGUAUCUCAGUACCCAACACACAGUUAUCACUUAAUAAAUAUUUAUUUAAUUAAUGAAUAAUCUUAAUUUAAAAAAAUCUUUGAUAAAAGAAGUCACAAUCAACUUUUGUAGAAUAUCAUUGAAUCUCAAUAUAUACAUGAACAUUCUUGCUGCUGGCCUUUUAAUUUCAGUUUGAGGGUAAGGCAUGGAGUCAGCAGUCCAUGAUUUUUUUCUUCAUUCAUUAAUCAAUCAUUUAUUGAGCACUUAUUCUAUGCUAAAAAGAGUGCCAGGUUCUGAGGAUGCAGAGAUUAAUAGCAUCCACAAUGCCUUUUAUAAAUUAAGAUGCCCAUGUUAAGUAUAUAAAGCAGUCUGGUGCUUUUUGAAUCAUCUUCAAACAUGAACGACAAUAGGCAGCUGUAUUAGAAUCAGACCCUUGAUAUUGAGUUUGCAGAAGCUGUUUUAUCAGCGCAGCAUGUUGCCCCAGCGAAGUGCAGUAUUUACAUUUCAUUCCAAAGUGGUUGUGCCAACAUCAAUCCUCUGGUUUUUGUACUUUUGGUCACUGUUUGCAAAUGUAUAAAAGGUUUUGUCAAAGGAGCUGGAUAAAGAUGGGAAGAGAAUGGCGUUACAUAUGACUAGCAGAGAUCGUAGAGUGGCUGAUGCUGGGAAGCAUUCUACUAAGGUCAGGGGGGCAUACGUGGAGAGCGAAGGUAAUGUGAAGAAAUGGAAUUGGGAACGAUGAAAUAGCAGCAAAGAUGGGCUUUAGCGGAAAUGAGUGCA
ensembl:lncRNA